rnacentral:rRNA from 1 species
AUUGAACGCUGGCGGCAGGCCUAACACAUGCAAGUCGAGCGGAGCGGCGGACGGGGGAGUGAUGCCUAGGAAUCUGCCUGGUCGCGGGGGAUAACGUCCGGUAACGGGAGCUAAUACCGCAUACUAUCAGAUGAGCCUCGGUCGGAUUAGCUAGUUGGUGGGGUAAAGGCCUACCAAGGCGACGAUCCGUAACUGGUCUGAGAGGAUGAUCAGUCACACUGGAACUGAGACACGGCCCAGACUCCUACGGGAGGCAGCAGUGGGGAAUAUUGGACAAUGGGCGAAAGCCUGAUCCAGCCAUGCCGCGUGUGUGAAGAAGGCCUUCGGAUUGUAAAGCACUUUAAGUUGAGAGGCGUUACCAACAGAAUAAGCACCGGCUAACUUCGUGCCAGCAGCCGCGGUAAUUC